rnacentral:rRNA from 1 species
GUCCACGCCCUAAACGAUGUCAACUAGGUGUUGGGUGGGUAAACCAUUUAGUACCGGAGCUAACGCGUGAAGUUGACCGCCUGGGGAGUACGGCCGCAAGGUUAAACUCAAAGGAAUUGACGGGGACCCGCACAAGCGGUGGAUGAUGUGGAUUAAUUCGAUGCAACGCGAAAACCUUACCUACCCUUGACAUGUCCGGAAGCCCUUAGAGAUUUGGGUGUGCUCGAAAGAGAGCCGGAACACAGGUGCUGCAUGGCUGUCGU